GACGAACGCUGGCGGCGUGCUUAACACAUGCAAGUCGAGCGGUAAGGCCCUUUCGGGGGUACACGAGCGGCGAACGGGUGAGUAACACGUGGGUGACCUGCCCUCAGCUCUGGGAUAAGCCUGGGAAACUGGGUCUAAUACUGGAUAUGACUCCACGGUGCAUGUCGUGGGGUGGAAAGCCUCGUGCGGCUGAGGAUGGGCCCGCGGCCUAUCAGCUUGUUGGUGGGGUGANGGCCUACCAAGGCGACGACGGGUAGCCGGCCUGAGAGGGCGACCGGCCACACUGGGACUGAGACACGGCCCAGACUCCUACGGGAGGCAGCAGU
rnacentral:rRNA from 1 species